CAGUCGCCGCGGGAAUACGAAGGGGGCUAGCGUUGCUCGGAAUGGCUGGGCGUAAAGGGCGCGUAGGCGGCGAUCAAAGUCAGGCGUGAAAUUCCUGGGCUCAACCUGGGGGCUGCGUUUGAUACUUGGUUGCUAGAGUGAGGAAGAGGGUCGUGGAAUUCCCAGUGUAGAGGUGAAAUUCGUAGAUAUUGGGAAGAACACCGGUGGCGAAGGCGGCGACCUGGUCCUUGACUGACGCUGGGGCGCGAAAGCGUGGGGAGCAAACAGGAUUAGAUACCCCCGUAGUCCCUGUCUCUUAUAC
rnacentral:rRNA from 1 species